rnacentral:rRNA from 1 species
AUUGAACGCUGGCGGAAUGCUUUACACAUGCAAGUCGAACGGUAGAGGGGGCACCCCCUUGAGAGUGGCGAACGGGUGAGUAAUAUAUCGGAACGUGCCCAGUCGUGGGGGAUAACGUAGCGAAAGUUACGCUAAUACCGCAUACGAUCUAAGGAUGAAAGCGGGGGAUCGCACGACCUCGCGCGACUGGAGCGGCCGAUAUCAGAUUAGGUAGUUGGUAGGGUAAAGGCCUACCAAGCCAACGAUCUGUAGCUGGUCUGAGAGGACGACCAGCCACACUGGAACUGAGACACGGUCCAGACUCCUACGGGAGGCAGCAGUGGGGAAUUUUGGACAAUGGGCGAAAGCCUGAUCCAGCCAUUCCGCGUGCAGGAUGAAGGCCCUCGGGUUGUAAACUGCUUUUGUACAGAACGAAAAGGUUUCUAUUAAUACUAGGAGCUCAUGACGGUACUGUAAGAAUAAGCACCGGCUAACUACGUG